AGGCUUAACACAUGCAAGUCGAGGGGCAGCGCGGGGCGGCAACGUCCUGGCGGCGACCGGCGGAAGGGUGCGUAACGCGUGAGCGACAUGCCCGUUGCCCGGGGACAACCGGUGGAAACGCCGACUAAUCCCCGAUGGGACGGAGGCCCUCAUGGGUCCCUGUUGAAAGUUACGGCGGCGACGGAUUGGCUCGCGUCCGAUUAGCUUGUUGGCGGGGUAACGGCCCACCAAGGCUACGAUCGGUAGGGGUUCUGAGAGGAAGGUCCCCCACAAUGGAACUGAGACACGGUCCAUACUCC
rnacentral:rRNA from 1 species